CUGGCUCAGGAUGAACGCUGGCGGCGUGCUUAACACAUGCAAGUCGAACGAAGCAAUUUCUUACGAUCCCUUCGGGGUGACGAGAUAUUGACUGAGUGGCGGACGGGUGAGUAACGCGUGGGUAACCUGCCUUGUACAGGGGGACAAC
rnacentral:rRNA from 1 species